GAUAAGAUGGCUGAAAUUAUAGGCAAUAAAUUGUAAAUUUAUUUAUGAGAUAACUCUCUUAUCA
rnacentral:tRNA from 1 species